AUUGAACGCUGGCGGCAUGCCUUACACAUGCAAGUCGAACGGCAGCACGGGUGCUUGCACCUGGUGGCGAGUGGCGAACGGGUGAGUAAUACAUCGGAACAUGUCCUGUAGUGGGGGAUAGCCCGGCGAAAGCCGGAUUAAUACCGCAUACGAUCUACGGAUGAAAGCGGGGGACCUUCGGGCCUCGCGCUAUAGGGUUGGCCGAUGGCUGAUUAGCUAGUUGGUGGGGUAAAGGCCUACCAAGGCGACGAUCAGUAGCUGGUCUGAGAGGACGACCAGCCACACUGGGACUGAGACGCGGCCGAGACUCCUGCGGGGGACAACAGUGGAAAAUUGUGGACUAUGGGCAAACGCGUGCUAGAGCAAUGCCGCGUGUGAAGAAGGCCUUCGGGUUGUAAAGCACUUUUGUCCGGAAAGAAAUCCUUGGCCCUAAUACGGUCGGGGGAUGACGGUACCGGAAGAAUAAGCACCGGCUAACUACGUG
rnacentral:rRNA from 1 species